GACGAGGUGGCCGAGUGGUUAAGGCGUUGGACUGGACUGCUAAUCCAUUGUGCUCUGCACGCGUGGGUUCGAAUCCCAUCCUCGUCG